rnacentral:rRNA from 2 species
GGGUUGUGAGGUUAAGCGACCAAGCGUACACGGUGGAUGCCCUGGCAGUCAGAGGCGAUGAAGGACGUGCUAAUCUGCGAAAAGCGCCGGUAAGGUGAUAUGAACCGUUAUAACCGGCGAUGUCCGAAUGGGGAAACCCAGUGUGACUCGUCACACUAUCAUUAACUGAAUCCAUAGGUUAAUGAGGCGAACCGGGGGAACUGAAACAUCUAAGUACCCCGAGGAAAAGAAAUCAACCGAGAUUCCCCCAGUAGCGGCGAGCGAACGGGGAGGAGCCCAGAGCCUGAAUCAGCAUGUGUGUUAGUGGAAGCGUCUGGAAAGGCGCGCGAUACAGGGUGACAGCCCCGUACACAAAAGCGCAUGUGCUGUGAGCUCGAUGAGUAGGGCGGGACACGUGGUAUCCUGUCUGAAUAUGGGGGGACCAUCCUCCAAGGCUAAAUACUCCUGACUGACCGAUAGUGAACCAGUACCGUGAGGGAAAGGCGAAAAGAACCCCGGCGAGGGGAGUGAAACAGAACCUGAAACCGUGUACGUACAAGCAGUGGGAGCCUCUUUUAUGGGGUGACUGCGUACCUUUUGUAUAAUGGGUCAGCGACUUAUAUUCUGUAGCAAGGUUAACCGAAUAGGGGAGCCGGAGGGAAACCGAGUCUUAACCGGGCGUUAAGUUGCAGGGUAUAGACCCGAAACCCGGUGAUCUAGCCAUGGGCAGGUUGAAGGUUGGGUAACACUAACUGGAGGACCGAACCGACUAAUGUUGAAAAAUUAGCGGAUGACCUGUGGCUGGGGGUGAAAGGCCAAUCAAACCGGGAGAUAGCUGGUUCUCCCCGAAAGCUAUUUAGGUAGCGCCUCGUGAAUUCAUCUCCGGGGGUAGAGCACUGUUUCGGCCAGGGGGCCAUCCCGGCUUACCAACCCGAUGCAAACUGCGAAUACCGGAGAAUGUUAUCACGGGAGACACACGGCGGGUGCUAACGUCCGUCGUGAAGAGGGAAACAACCCAGACCGCCAGCUAAGGUCCCAAAGUCAUGGUUAAGUGGGAAACGAUGUGGGAAGGCCCAGACAGCCAGGAUGUUGGCUUAGAAGCAGCCAUCAUUUAAAGAAAGCGUAAUAGCUCACUGGUCGAGUCGGCCUGCGCGGAAGAUGUAACGGGGCUAAACCAUGCACCGAAGCUGCGGCAGCGACACUGUGUGUUGUUGGGUAGGGGAGCGUUCUGUAAGCCUGCGAAGGUGUGCUGUGAGGCAUGCUGGAGGUAUCAGAAGUGCGAAUGCUGACAUAAGUAACGAUAAUGCGGGUGAAAAACCCGCACGCCGGAAGACCAAGGGUUCCUGUCCAACGUUAAUCGGGGCAGGGUGAGUCGACCCCUAAGGCGAGGCCGAAAGGCGUAGUCGAUGGGAAACGGGUUAAUAUUCCCGUACCUGGUGUUACUGCGAAGGGGGGACGGAGAAGGCUAUGUUGGCCGGGCGACGGUUGUCCCGGUUUAAGCGUGCAGGCUGGUUUUCCAGGCAAAUCCGGAAAAUCAAGGCUGAGGCGUGACGACGAGGCACUACGGUGCUGAAGCAACAAAUGCCCUGCUUCCAGGAAAAGCCUCUAAGCCUCAGGUAACAUCAGAUCGUACCCGAAACCGACACAGGUGGUCAGGUAGAGAAUACCAAGGCGCUUGAGAGAACCCGGGUGAAGGAACUAGGCAAAAUGGUGCCGUAACUUCGGGAGAAGGCACGCUGACACGUAGGUGAAGCGGUUUACCCGUGGAGCUGAAGUCAGUCGAAGAUACCAGCUGGCUGCAACUGUUUAUUAAAAACACAGCACUGUGCAAACACGAAAGUGGACGUAUACGGUGUGACGCCUGCCCGGUGCCGGAAGGUUAAUUGAUGGGGUCAGCGCAAGCGAAGCUCCUGAUCGAAGCCCCGGUAAACGGCGGCCGUAACUAUAACGGUCCUAAGGUAGCGAAAUUCCUUGUCGGGUAAGUUCCGACCUGCACGAAUGGCGUAAUGAUGGCCAGGCUGUCUCCACCCGGGACUCAGUGAAAUUGAACUCGCUGUGAAGAUGCAGUGUACCCGCGGCAAGACGGAAAGACCCCGUGAACCUUUACUAUAGCUUGACACUGAACACUGGUCCUUGAUGUGCAGGAUAGGUGGGAGGCUUUGAAGUGUGGACGCCAGUCUGCAUGGAGCCGUCCUUGAAAUACCACCCUUUAAUGGCUGGUGUUCUAACGUAGACCCGUGAACCGGGUUGCGGACAGUGUCUGGUGGGUAGUUUGACUGGGGCGGUCUCCUCCUAAAGCGUAACGGAGGAGCACGAAGGUUGGCUAAUCCUGGUCGGACAUCAGGAGGUUAGUGCAAUGGCAUAAGCCAGCUUGACUGCGAGCGUGACGGCGCGAGCAGGUGCGAAAGCAGGUCAUAGUGAUCCGGUGGUUCUGAAUGGAAGGGCCAUCGCUCAACGGAUAAAAGGUACUCCGGGGAUAACAGGCUGAUACCGCCCAAGAGUUCAUAUCGACGGCGGUGUUUGGCACCUCGAUGUCGGCUCAUCACAUCCUGGGGCUGAAGUAGGUCCCAAGGGUAUGGCUGUUCGCCAUUUAAAGUGGUACGCGAGCUGGGUUUAGAACGUCGUGAGACAGUUCGGUCCCUAUCUGCCGUGGGCGCUGGAGAACUGAGGGGGGCUGCUCCUAGUACGAGAGGACCGGAGUGGACGCAUCACUGGUGUUCGGGUUGUCAUGCCAAUGGCACUGCCCGGUAGCUAAAUGCGGAAGAGAUAAGUGCUGAAAGCAUCUAAGCACGAAACUUGCCCCGAGAUGAGUUCUCCCUGAGACUACAAGUCUCCUGAAGGAACGUUGAAGACGACGACGUUGAUAGGCCGGGUGUGUAAGCGCAGCGAUGCGUUGAGCUAACCGGUACUAAUGAACCGUGAGGCUUAACCUUACAACGCCGAAG